rnacentral:rRNA from 1 species
UACGUAGGGGGCAAGCGUUGUCCGGAUUUAUUGGGCGUAAAGAGCGUGUAGGCGGCCAUACAGGUCAGCUGUGAAAACUCGAGGCUCAACCUCGAGACGUCGGUUGAAACCGUAUGGCUAGAGUCCGGAAGAGGAGAGUGGAAUUCCUGGUGUAGCGGUGAAAUGCGCAGAUAUCAGGAGGAACACCAAUUGCGAAGGCAGCUCGCUGGGACGUUACUGACGCUGAGACGCGAAAGCGUGGGGAGCAAACAGG